CCUACGGGCGGCAGCAGUGAGGAAUAUUGGUCAAUGGACGAGAGUCUGAACCAGCCAAGUAGCGUGAAGGAUGACUGCCCUAUGGGUUGUAAACUUCUUUUAUAAAGGAAUAAAACGAGGCACGUGUGCCUUUUUGCAUGUACUUUAUGAAUAAGGAUCGGCUAACUCCGUGCCAGCAGCCGCGGUAAUACGGAGGAUCCGAGCGUUAUCCGGAUUUAUUGGGUUUAAAGGGAGCGUAGAUGGGUUGUUAAGUCAGUUGUGAAAGUUUGCGGCUCAACCGUAAAAUUGCAAUUGAUACUGGCAGUCUUGAGUACAGUUGAGGUAGGCGGAAUUCGUGGUGUAGCGGUGAAAGGCUUAGAUAUCACGAAGAACCCCGAUUGCGAAGGCAGCUUACUAAACUGUGACUGACAUUGAUGCUCGAAAGUGUGGGUAUCAAACAGGAUUAGAUACCCCUGUAGUC
rnacentral:rRNA from 1 species